AAUCAACGCUGGCGGCGUGCCUAACACAUGCAAGUCGAACGAGAAAGUGGAGCAAUCCAUGAGUAAAGUGGCGACCGGGUGAGUAACACGUGACCAAUCUACCCUUGAGUGGGGGAUAACCUCGGGAACCGGGGCUAAUACCACAUAAUAUCUUCGGGACGGAAGUGCUGAAGAUCAAAGGAGCAAUUCGCUUAAGGAGGAGGUCGCGGCUGAUUAGCUAGUUGGCGGGGUAACG
rnacentral:rRNA from 1 species